UUUUUUUGAGACAAGGUCUUCCUCUGUCACCAAACCUGGAGUGUGACGGCCCAUUCAUAGCUCACUGCAGCCUUGAUCUCCUGGGCUCAAGCCAUCCUCCAGCCUCAGCCUCCUGAGUAGCUGGGACUACAGGCAUGCACCACCAUGCCUAGCUAAUUUUUUGUAAAGACCAGGUCUCACUAUGUUGCCCAGUAGUUCCAGAUUACAGUGAGUCAUAAAAGUGCUACUGCACUCCAGCCUGGGUGACAGAGUGGGAACCUAUCUCUAAAAAACAAAACACAAGACAUUUGCAGGGAAUUACUCUUUAUCCUCCAGCACUAAAAACUGCUUUCAGUGCUGAGCUCUCAAGUGAGGAAGCAGGUGCUCAGAGAGAGUGCUAUUUCCUGGGCUGGGGCUGUGCCACCCAGAAAUCGUUCUUGGGUGUCACAGUGGGUGAGGCAGACAGCGUAGGCCCAAUUUCAGCCUCCAGCUCUAGGGAACAGAGACCACUGCCACCUAUACUUCUCUACUCACUUGCCUUGUUCCCUGAAGUUUCUCUGGCAGAUGGGUGAUUGGGUGGGGAGAGGAUGAUGCCACUUGCCCGGGGGCUUCUUGCCAGGAACUGAAGAAUCACCAGGAGGAAGAACAACAAUCGGAGGAAAAACUCCAGCCACAUAAGAAGUUAAAUGUGCCGCAACCACCAGUGGCGAAAUUGUGGACAUCACA
rnacentral:lncRNA from 10 species